CAUUUUCUCAUUUUUGUUCCACGAGCUUCCCCCCAAAUUUUCCCUCCCUCUCUCCAUCUACCCCAAAAUCUUCCCACCAUUGACCACCACGCACUACCAGCCAUCGUCGACCACCACGCACGACCCGCCACCGUCGUUCUCUAUCUCCGACAGAGCGACCGCCGACGACCCAGCUCCGCCACCGUUGACCACCACGCACGACCCACCACUAGGUACUGCCAGGCGCCAUCUCUGACGACCCAUACCCAUCUCUGUCUCCCUCCAUGACGACCCAUCUCCAUCUCUUCCCACCGAACAGAUCCGACGAGCCCAACCAUCAAAAGAGAUCUAGAAUCUCAGUUCCCUCCACGACAAACCCAUCUCCAUCUCUUCCCACUUUACAGAUCCGACGAGCCUAACUGAACUACCAUCACCGUCGACGAGCCUAGCCAUCAAAAGAGAAUUUCUGCAGUUUGUAUUCUUUGAUUAUAUCUUGAUUAUUGCAGCCCUUGAGCAGUUCCUUGAAAAUGAUCCUGAGGAUAAUACGCUUAAUGCCCUCAAAAGAAAAAAAGUUUUUAGUGAUUACAUCAGUUCCAGUGCUAUUCAAGGAUCAAGGCACACUUCAGCACUGAUGUUUCGAACAGCCAAAGCAUAAAGCCAAAGUUGGCUUUGCGUCAAGGUUGCUAACAUUUUUGUGUUGCCAUCUGAAAGUUGCUUGCUUUUUCACUUUCUUUGUUUAAUUUACUGUUUUUGGCAUAUUCGUAUGCAAGUCUAUGAAUUCAAAUAAUUAUCAUUGCUGAUAAAAUUGUAGUCUACCUCAAACAACGCAUCGGUGAUGGAUGGAUUUUGGUGGAAUUUGAGCUUGUUUGGUUCACUGCAAUGUGGAAUUUGUGGACAAUAACUUCAAUUUAUGUAAAUCUAGUCACUGCUCGUCCCUAAGUAGUUGGGGUAAAAAAUAUUUAG